UCUGCUUCUCUGCACUAUGUCCAGUGGCCUACUGAAGGCGCUGUGCAGCGACACCUACCUGGAGCUGAGCCAGUACCAGGACUAGCAUUUCCAGAGUGACAAUGAAAAUCAAGAAAAAUUACUGAAGAAAAGCUGUAUGUUAUAGGUUGGAAAUCUUUCUUUUUACACAACUGAAGAACAAAUCUAUGAACUUUCAGCAAAAGUGGUAACAUAAAGAAAAUCAUUAUGGGUCUAGAUAAAAUGAAGAAAACAGCAUGUGAGUUCUGUUUCGUGGAGUAUUACUCACGAGCAGAUGCAAAAAAAUGCUGUGCAAUACAUAAAUGGAACUCGUCUGGAUGACUGAAUCAUUCACACAGAUUGGGACGCAGGCUUUAAGGAGGGCAGGCAGUAUGGCCGUGGGCGAUCUUGGGGCCAGGUACAGGAUGUGUAUAGGCAGGACUAUGAUGAUGGGAGAGGAAGCUAUGGAAAACUGGCACAGGACCAGUGAGUGGAGAGAGCUCCAUUAGUGAAAAAACUCCUUUGGCCUGCUGAAUUUGUUGAGGAACAUCACCUAAAGUCUGCAAAUGAGCCCAUUUUUGCCAAGCUUUGAUCAGUGCCUAAGCUGGAAGCCUCUUCAUGAUUUUCCUCUGAAAGUUAUUAAAGGACAGAAUCCAAAAGAAUGCCUUUAAUUCUUGUCUGAGAAUCUUGGCCAUGUGUCAGAUUAUCAGAAUAGUUUUGUUACCGGGUCAGAAAUUAUGUUCUUUGACAAUGGAUUGGAUCUAUAAUGUUGAUUAGUCUUUAGCCAAAACCACUACACUUCUUUUAGGAAGACUAGAAAAAUCAAAAAAUUAGUUUUUACCAUAUUGAGUCUUAAGUAGGUUCAUGAUCUACAUUGAGGCCUGGAGUUAUUUUUUAAAUUUUAAGUUUGCACGAGAUAAAGCCUAAAUGGAGAUGGGGCCAGGCAUGUCUCACACCUGGAAUCCCAAUACUUUGGGAGGCUGAAGAGGAAGGAUAGCUUGAGGCCAGGAGUUUGAGACCAGACUGGGCAACAGAGCAAGACCACCUUCUCUACAAAGCAAAACAUAAAACAAAACAAAUGGAGUUGUGCCAUGUUGUAUUGCUUUGCACUGAAUUAGUAACAGGUGUUUGACAACGGAAUUUGUUUUCUAUGAAUGUUAAUCUCUAAAGGAAAGCUUAGAGGUCAAGGACCUUCCUAAAUAGUUGGUGCAAAAGCAGUCUACACAGGACAGCCCUGCUUUCAUGCUAUACACAUCAGGAAAUGAGGCCAGAACUUGAGUAUUUACUAACACAUUUUUCAAAAGACGUCAAUGUUAUACCUAAAGCUAAAAAGGGAAAGAGUUUGUCAUAGAGAGAACCUCUAAAUAAUUUCAGGAGUAUGGGAGACACUGUCAAUAGUAAAUGGGAUAACAUAUCAAGAGACAGUGAACGCUGCCUUGACAUGAGGACCAUCAAAUUUAUACUUUCCAUUUUCAGUGAUGUCAGGAAUGGAGUAGGUUUAAAAAAGGAGCUUGAAGAUUAAAUGUUUAACAUAAAUAAUCACAGACAUUUCCUGCAGGAGAUGCCUCUUUUAGCCAUUUCUCGUGGUGAAGUCUGUUUUAUGUUUUUCCUCAAAUUAUACUUACUGAGGCUCAAGCCUUCACAGUGAGCUAAUGGUCUCUACAGAGAAGGGGAGUCUAAGAAUUUUGUUUUUUAUUUGUAAGGCAAGAGGUGAUUUCUCUCUAAUAUAUGUGAGUUAUUGCUCAUUUAAAACUGUUAGUCUAGUAUAAUUUUCCCUGAUAUGAAAAACAUGUGAAUUUUUUUCAUGUAGCAACAAAGUACCUUUUAACUUCCAAUGGUCUGUGAAAGUAGGGGCUGCAGUACCUUAGUAUGAAUGUCUCUCAUGUUAAAGUGAGCAUAAAAUUUGAAUUUUUAAAACAGCUGUAUCUAGUUGUAAGUGCUUAGGAAGAAACUAUGCAAACAUUUAAUGAGGAGACACUGUUCAUUUUAAAAAUUCCUUUACAUUGUAGUUUAAACUAGUGUAUUUUAUAUUCUUUUAUAGUAAAACAUAACUCAGAUUUCUACAGUAGACACUGCUUUUAUUUGAAUUGUUUUCUGUAACACGUUUCAAUAAAGUUGGACGAACU